AGUGAACGCUGGCGGUAGGCCUAACACAUGCAAGUCGAACGGCAGCACAGUAAGACCUUGCUCUUACGGGUGGCGAGUGGCGGACGGGUGAGGAAUGCAUCGGAAUCUACUUUUUCGUGGGGGAUAACGUAGGGAAACUUACGCUAAUACCGCAUACGACCUACGGUUGAAACCAGGGGAUCUUCGGACCUUGCGCGAUUGAAUGGGCCGAUGUCGGAUUAGCUAGUUGGCGGGGUAACGGCCCACCAAGGCGACGAUCCGUAGCUGGUCUGAGAGGAUGAUCAGCCACACUGGAACUGAGACACGGUCCAGACUCCUACGGGAGGCAGCAGAGGGGAGUAGUGGACAAUGGGCGCAAGCCUGAUCCAGCCAUACCGCGUGGGUGAAGAAGGCCUUCGGGUUGUAAAGCCCUUUUGUUGGGAAAGAAAAGCAGCAGGUUAAUACCCCGCUGUUCUGACGGUACCCAAAGAAUAAGCACCGGCUAACUUCGUG
rnacentral:rRNA from 1 species